ACCCAGUCUGGACCUGG
rnacentral:misc_RNA from 1 species